CCCAUUGACUCUAAUGGUUGACAUGCUUCAUUCCCUCCCUUUCACAGCCUCUACCUUACCACCAAGAGAGUGGAGGACAUCGUCCUGAGGCUCGUCUCCUUGCGCCAGGCCUUCACUGUGAGUGGACCCACUGUUCUUUUUGUCUCUGUGACUUCUUGUUCUGUCUCCAAGAGGAAGAGGUCUCACCCUAACUCUUCCCUAGACCCUGCUUGGUUCCACCCUGAGCAGGAACCAUCUGUUUGUGGCAGGAAAGGCCCUCCUGGGCGGCCUUGUUCAGGCCAACCACAUGGUAACUCACUAACUCAUUCUCUUUCAAGGGAAAGAGAGCGUCCCUGAGGGGAAAUGUGUUCUGUUCACUAAGAUGCUCUUUUCUUUGUCAUAGGACGAGGCCAAAUUCAUCCGUACCUAUAACGACUUUGUGGACUACCUGAGUGACCCCUCCAAGCGGAAUGACAUUGAGAGGGAGCUGGCUGAGGCAAAGAUCCAUCAUGUGAACAUGAUAGAUGUCCUCUUUGAGCUGGUGCUGUUUGGGAUGAUGACAGCUCAGAAGUCCCUGAUGGUGCACCCUGGUGGGUUCGUGGAGCGUCUGUACGCUCUCCUGUCCUCCUUCCUGCCCACUGCUGCCAACAUGGAGCCAGAGGCUGAUAGAAUCCUACUGCUGCUCAAUGUAAGAGUCAAGAGGUUACUUCCUGUUUACUUCCAUAUUCUUAGUGUACUUCCUUUUGACUUCCUUAUUCAUGGUUAACCAGCUUUCAGUAUUUCUAAUUGUCUCUCUCCUCUUGAUAAGCUAGUAACUCAGAGCCAUUUUCUAUGUGUUGUGUGGUGUUCUCUUCAGGGCGGACUGAUGGCUCUGCUAGAUGACAUGUUUGGCCAGCAGCUGGCCUGGUAUUUUAACUCCGAGUCUCUGGUCACUGAGCUCUCCAUCCUCCUGGAGUACCACUUGGAGAACCUCAUGGCCAGCAUGUAGUCCUACUGCAGGGACCAUACUCCUUUCUCCUUCUCUCUCUCUUAUGAAGGAAUUGAGGACUUGAAGUGCUUUGUUGAACCCUGAUUAGUUAACACCCAUUAAUUUAAUGUAUUCUCUUGUUUUCUCUCCCCACAGGAUUAUUGUGACACUUUGCCACCCAACAGGGAUCUAGACACCAAUGCACUACAUUACUUUGCACUGAAUUUGAC
rnacentral:lncRNA from 1 species